rnacentral:lncRNA from 1 species
UUUGAUCACAUCAUUACACAUAUAGUACCAAAAAUUGAGUCAUUUUCUAAACUAUUUUUUUCACAAAAGAUGAUUACCACAGGUCAACUGGAUAUUUGGAGAGACACUAUCUCAGUGGUAUGAGGGCCACAGUAAACUAUCUUGGUCGAAUGAGGACCACCAAAAAUCCCUGUGGAGACUAAACUAAGAUAGCACGGUUGAGUAAUGUAAAAAGUUGGGGGAAGUGGGAGUCAUUUUCUUUACUAGAUAAGGAGGAGGAGGAGGAUAGUGUUAGGGGUUAUGACAACAAAAAAAACUGUUUCUUGUAUUGUUAUGUGAUAUGACUCUACCAUGUAGACCAGAAAAAGAUGAAAAGACUAUGUUUUUCUUUUGGGAGAGAGCCAUAUGGGAAGAUGUGGUUGGGAAUUGGGUUGGAGAUGCAUGAGUUUUAUCAUCAUACAGGUAGCUUAGAGAAAAAACAAGCCAGAAUGGGGUUGUGAGGAUGUUGACUGGGCAAGGGCACAGCUAGGGUUAGGGAUGUUUCCCUCUCCUAGGGAUGUGACCUGUCUGCAAGUCACCACCAUCCCCUAUAAAAUUUGGAAUCGUUGAUGUUGACAUCUGCAAUUCAAUUCACCCUUCCUACUCCCAGACUCUGGGUAUUCUCAACUUACAAUUCCCACUCUCCUUUGCCCUUUUUCUACAUUCAAUUACAUUAUUUAUAGUAAUCCAUUCAACUUUACUUUCAAUCUGAUUCAUCCAUACGUAUAUAUAUAUAUAUAUAUAUCCAUGUUGAUCCAAUAAUUUGACUUUACAGUAUGGACAAAUUGUUAAUGUUGAAGUUGGAUCUCCUCCCAUCUCUAUCCAAAAGGCCCCUGGAAGGCAACAUGAUUGGGGUGGGUCGCUGUUCACCUGGUUUUCCCUUGUAGCUGUUUGGAGAAUUCCUAGCCAAAAGAAAAUCGUCGGCAAGUUCCCCCUUCCAUCAGGAAAAAAAUGGACUGUCCCUUCAACUAUAUUAAGUCACACAUCCAAUGGUUUCAUGCUUGACAAGGGCGCAUGCACCUUCUGAGAUUGGAUUGAGGCAUUCAUGGAAACUUGCAAAACAGACGUUCAAGUUUCUAUUGGGGCACUGCUUCUCCCCCCUAGAUCCUCAUGAACCUAUUUUGGGUCAAUUUGUG